rnacentral:rRNA from 1 species
UACGUAGGGUGCAAGCGUUAUCCGGAAUUAUUGGGCGUAAAGAGCUUGUAGGCGGCUCGUCGCGUCGGGUGUGAAAACUUGCGGCUUAACCGCAAGCCUGCACCCGAUACGGGCGGGCUAGAGUUCGGCAGGGGAGACUGGAAUUCCUGGUGUAGCGGUGGAAUGCGCAGAUAUCAGGAGGAACACCGGUGGCGAAGGCGGGUCUCUGGGCCGAUACUGACGCUGAGGAGCGAAAGCGUGGGGAGCGAACAGG